rnacentral:ribozyme from 14 species
CAAAUAGAGAGACAGGACGAAAUAACGAAAUCAACAAAACAAAUAUAAGAUAUGAAACGUAUUGAAUAUUCAAGCUUUUCCAGUAUUCU